AUCGCUUCUUGGCCUUUUGGCUAAGAUCAAGUGUAGUAUUUUAAUAAUGCUUAAAAACUAGCCUAGCUGAACAAUAUAUAUUUCAGAAAAUGUACACAUGCCAUUUACAAUAUUU
ensembl:snRNA U2 U2 spliceosomal RNA